rnacentral:misc_RNA from 1 species
GGAAGUAAAAGUCGUAACAAGAUCUCCGUAGGUGAACCUGCGGAGGGAUCAUUACAAGUGACCCCGGUCUUACCACCGGGAUGUUCAUAACCCUUUGUUGUCCGACUCUGUUGCCUCCGGGGCGACCCUGCCUUCGGGCGGGGGCUCCGGGUGGACACUUCAAACUCUUGCGUAACUUUGCAGUCUGAGUAAACUUAAUUAAUAAAUUAAAACUUUUAACAACGGAUCUCUUGGUUCUG